AUCUCCCACGUCAACAGCGUCAAUGGCCUCGGCGCUUUCUUUAAAUCUAUGCAAAAUUUAGCCGAGGCGCAAAAAAGUCAACGUACUUCGUUCGAGCUGUGGGAGCACAAAUUGAUGUAAUGCAGACUUAAGUGCGCCUGAAAUUGUUAUUUUGCCGAGCAAAGCUAAUUCCGUGUUCCCAAAUGAACACAAGUGUUUCCGCCGCUUGCAGUUCAUAGCACAGACGCUAUAUUUAGCGCGUGGAGUACUCGAAGCCUGCGGUAAGAUUCUUGUGCAGUGUAUGAAUUAAAUAGUAGGAGAAACGAGAGAUCCGAGAAAUGGCAAAUUCGCCCAAAGAACUGAAAUCAUAAAUGUUGAGGGGGAAUGUGGUAUAGGGGAAUGGCAAUGCAGUGCAGCAAGAAGAUGACUCGACAUGGGGCCUUAAAUUGUUCCCUUUACCUGAAUGUUAGAUGAAAAUUGAAAACGAAGAGCGAACUUUGAAGUAAUUGACUAAAAGACAAUGUUAUACCAAGAAGAAUUCAUGCUAAGUGGUGCAGACCCUUAAAGCUGACCCAUUUGAGGAGACAGCUACGUAUGGUUUUUAACAGAUGCUUCCUGGGGAAGAUUGCAGCUGUACGUAGACGCCAUUAUGAGAGAAUGAUCACUUGAAACAACGGAUUUCGAUAUGGAGUGAUAUGAGAUUUUUGAUCACAAAAAAAGAUUUACGGAAAUACCAGUGCAUUUAAAACGAUGAAACUUGUCAAUAUCUUAUAUAUCGGGCUGUG